GUUUCACCUCACGGCCAUCUUAACACUAAAAAAGAAACUGUUCGAUAUUUUAUAGACAACAACAACCAGAAUUGCGGAAGAAACGCAGGGCACUAACAAUCAUGUAUAAACCAUGGAGAUUGUGGUUUCUUCAACUUCUACUGAUCAUCUUUGUGCGCAGCUCGGAGGCAGGCACAUACUACCGGUACCUGGAUAACUAC